AAUAUGUGAUUUAUGAUUGGUCAAAAUUUCAGCGUUUUUGAUUAACGAAUGAAACAGUUAUGAAUAUUUGAAUGAAAAAUUGUUUUGACAAAAAUAUUACUGUACGGACAAUUGUUUGAUACACUGUAUGUUGGAGGAAUUCUUGAAGAAAUUUCUACUGAUUUUUUGAGUAAAAAUUUUUGAGAGAUAUUAAGAAAAAUCCUUGAACAAUUACCGGAAGGAAAACUUGGAAGAUCUCCUGGAGCAAGUUUUGAACAAAUUCCCACAAUAAUAGUCUUGGUGAAACUUCUUAUGAAAUUUUGAAUAAAUUCCUUGAUUGUGGAAUAAUAAGAAAAUUAUUUGAAGAAAUCCUCGUAUUAUUUUUCGAAGGGUGUAUCUGAAAUCCCUAAUAUUUUUCUGUUAAAAUUCAUGAAGGAAUCAAUUCUCAGUAAAAUUCCGAGAGAAAAUAUAACCUACAUGAUUAGCCAACAUAGUGAAGAAAUCCUAAAAGAACUCUGGAGAAAAUUCUAAAAAAAUCAUUUGAAAGUUUUUAAAACAGUUUGAAGAUAUUCUUUGAGAAUCUCUUGUGAAUAUUAAUGGAUGAAUUCCAGCGCUAUCUUAGAAUAAAUUCCAGGAGAAACCCUGUAAGAUGCUUUAGUGUGAAUAUGUAGGAUUCCAUUAAGCAUCCUAUAUGCAAUCUGAAUUAAACCCAAUUGCAAAGCUUCGAGGAUUACCAGAAGAAAUCCUGGAAGAAAUGCCUAGAUAAGCCUGCAAAAAUGUCAUAUGGAGUUCUUGGAGAAAUACAAGAAAAAGAAUUCCCUGACGGAAUUCCUAGAGGAAUCUCUGAAGGGGCUCCUAGAAGAAUCCCUGAGGAAGUUUGUGAAGGAAUCUCUGAGGGAGUUCCUUGAUGAAUGUUAUAGGAUUUCACUCAGCAAUUCCUCUGGGAAUUUCCCAAAUAAUUCCUCCGGGAAUUCCUACCGGGAUUGCUCUGGAAUCUAUGCUUACUAAACCUUCUUGAAAACCAAUGGACAUUGUUAUACAUUUUAAAGAUAUUCUGGGUCUUCCAAACUGUCUUGGGGUUCAUAUAAUCUCAUGCGUCGCUUAAGUGUGUAAUUGGGAUAACCCAUGUCGGUCAAUCCAAAGGUCAGUUUAAAACUUCCAAAUAACCCUUUCGAAGGACACCAUUUCCGCUACACUGAUGGUCAUAAGCACCAACACAAUUAGUACGAGAUUUUAUCCGGAUUUUUUUAAAUCCAGAUUUAAUUUUAAUACCUCAAUCGGUAAGCACCAAGAGAGGAUUAAACAGUGAAAGCUCGCAGCCAUUCUCUCUCUCGUAUUUCUUUUUGAGUUUGUGUGAGUGUGAUCGGGAAAGUGUCAAUCGACCUAAACAGCUGGAGUUUGUUUACAUAUUUUUCGCAAAAAAAAAGUUUGUUAUUGCUGCGAGAUGGACCGUAAUCGGUCUGAGUUGUCCAAGUGGCCACAGAGGAAAAAAAUGUUACUGGGGAACUUCGUACUCGUAUAAAACGAUUGAUCUGAUGGCUAGUGAGUGGCUUUUCUGUGUUUCGUCCGAUUGCUAGAACAGCAGCAGCGAUAGCAGCAUCUUCGCAUUGUGAUAUGGAUCCAAGUUGUACCUGUGUUUGCGGAAUAACUGAAACGGCGAAGGAACUUGCUGAGGAUUCUAAUGAAGUGCAUAAGGAUGCAGCAGUAGAGCUGCGAGUGCGAGAAGCUGAAUCUGGAGGUGUGAUGAAAAAAAAGCGAUGGCUAGCCAUGUACCCCGAUCGAGACAAAUCUGUUCGUGGCUAUCCGUCGUGCGUGCUGGAUUGGCGAAUGCGGUUUAGAAAACUUUUGGUCAGUCGGAGGCUGAUGUGACGACUUUGCACAAGAACUCCGAAAAAAUGCUUCACCAUACAACUGGAUCUCAAGCGCGUCAUGCUAAACCUGAUUGAAAUAAUUGUAAUUAUUGUUAGCAUGUACAGUAAUCCAUGAAUAAACGGUUGUCAAUAGUGUUAGAA